UGGGGAUGUGGUGGAAUGGUAGACACAACAGACUUAAAAUCUGUUGAUCUUUUGUAUGAUCGUGAGGGUUCAAGUCCCUCCAUCCCCAU
rnacentral:tRNA from 1 species